rnacentral:rRNA from 1 species
UACGUAGGGCGCAAGCGUUGUCCGGAAUUAUUGGGCGUAAAAGAGCUCGUAGGCGGUUUUGUCGCGUCUGCUGUGAAAACUCGAGGCUCAACCUCGGGCUUGCAGUGGGUACGGGCAGACUAGAGUGCGGUAGGGGAGACUGGAAUUCCUGGUGUAGCGGUGGAAUGCGCAGAUAUCAGGAGGAACACCGAUGCGAAGGCAGGUCUCUGGGCCGCAAC